rnacentral:lncRNA from 1 species
AGGGGGCCCCAGAUACGUUAUUCAAUAAGCUCUCAUCUUUCAUCUAAAAACUCUGCUAAAUUCUCCGUUCGAGCACUCCAUUCUUGUUGAGGCAGAGAACUGACUUGAGUGUCGGAGGGUCUUGCCGGAGCAACCCCACCUCCGGUUUAGACUUCCUUUGCAGGUCCCGACGACGACCGCGACUUCCUCGACUCCAGCUUC